GGAAUACCAGGGGUGGGCACUGUCAAGAGACCCAGCUUUGACUUCAAAUGCCACCCAGAGGGACAACUGCUCACUUUCAGAGCAGGAGCAGGAGGCCAGAGGAGAGUGUGAGUCUAACAUCUGCACAGUGAGAAGUCCAGGAGAAGCAAAAAUGAGAUCCAGGCUGGAGCGGCUGUGCCAGAGGGUCCCUAUGAUCCAGACCUCAAGAGAGGGUUCCUGGACCUCCCACAGAAAGGGAUUCAAGGCCAGCUGAAACUGAUUAGAGCCAAGAUAGCCAACCAAAUGACUUCAGGAAGACCUCAGGCUUCAUUAUCAUCUCAUUUCCAUGCUAAAAAAACCCAGCUCCCUAGAACAAUGGGAAAUAUUGGGCACUUCAUCAGGCGAGUUCAGGUGCAUUUCUAGAGAUUGUCCAGGUGCUGGUAACAAUAAUAGAGAACCAUCCAUAUCCACAAGAGGCAGAACCUCUUCCAGCAAAAUGGUGCUGCCUCACCCAAAGGUAUCACUAAGCAUAUAGAUUAUAGAAGCCUGAGAUGGUGAGUGGAAUCUGAAAAUGAAAUCUAACAUUUACCAAAGAUACAGAGAAGGAGGAAGAGACUGGAUUCGUUGUUCCGGCCCCUGAGUCUAGUCAGUCAGUUCUACUCUUGGGCUUUGUAGUUCUGUUCAUCAGUGAACUCUUCUGUUUUGUUGAAACCAGUUGGAGAAGGGUUUCCAGAAACCUGCACUUGAAGAGCAUCAGCUGGCACAGAGAUCUUGGCUGAACCCACUGCUGUGUUUGACUAGGAAUGAGAGUGGGCACACGGAGAGGGCAGCCCACCAGGCAGGUGUGUCUGGCCGAGGAGGCCGUCGGAGGACCACAAAGCUGCAAGUGGCUUUCCUGCGGCCUGCAGGGAACAGGUGGAGGACACUUGGAAGGGCACCCACCCCGGGUCUCACAGGAGUCUGCACCCGCAGGUCACACUGGCAUUAGCCCCUCAUCCUCUGGAGUUCAUCUCAUCCAGGCGAAGACAGCUGGCUGGCCUCAGAGGGUGAGACGCAACUCGAGGGUAAAAACAUUUUUACAGGGCAUGGACACAAAAGUGGCCUUUACCUCUGGAUAAGCUUUUAAAACUUCCCAUUUACAUGUAAAGGUGUACUUUCUAUGUGCCACCAAGAAACCUAAAGUGAGUAAAAGGUGUUUCACUUUAAUCAAGUUCCCCAAUGAGGGGGCACAGCUCUGAAAAGCACUGUCACAACAGGAGAUUCGAGGGUGCAUGCAAAGCAAUGUUUCUAGAAAAUGCCAAAGGAAACAGACACAACUCCAGUGUGGACUCCCGCUUCCCUGCACUGCUGCUCCAUCCUCAGGGCGGAGGCCACAUCGUCCAGCUAGCUGUGAGAACCUCAUCAUGCUCCUUGAUUGUGUGCAGCAGGUGUCUGCUGAAGUCCUCCACACUCUGCCUGUGAGAAAACUGUACUACAGAAAGGUGAGCACCUUGCCCAAAGUUACGCAGAAAGUGAAAAAACAAGAAUUCUAACCCAGACAAGUAGAGAUAAAAUAGACAAGUGGCUUCAUGCAUCAGUAGCAUUGAAAGACACCUCGAAUGUGGCCUUACUUCAAGGUGAUGGAAUUUCUUUUUAAGCUCAGCUUCUACUUCCCUUCUGAGGAAGUUCAUGACAGGGAGCUGCUGCAACUGAUGUGACUUUCAACUCUAAUAUCCCGAUGAUGUAAAUGCACUGAUCAGCUCAGCAGGAUUUAAGGUCUCAUCCGCUGAGCAGUGCCUCCUCCCGAUUCAGCACGUCCCUGGUGCCGACUUUCUGCACGUGUUCACUUUGAGGCUGCAUUGUGGGCCUGCAAGAAAUGCAAAGGUGGUUGAGGCUUUAUUCAAUUCAAAUUCAAGCUGUUAAAUCGAGGCUCUCAGACUCCUGCUGCCUGGCCAGUGGAGAAAUUAACUUUCACAUAUGGCUUUGGGAUUUCUCUCUGUCAUCCUGGUCGACGUGUUCUCUCAUUUUUCUGAAGUCUGGGACCUCAACACAGACAUCUGGGUGAAGGCCUUGACAGCAGCGCUGGUGCAAAAUGAAUUGUCACAUCACACCCAACGUUCUCAACCUUUAGAAUCUGAAAGUAAGAAAAACACCUCAAACGAAACAUUAAAGAUUGAAUAAUUGAAGGCACUAUGCUUGGUGCUGAAGAAGGUCUAAGGAGGUCUACACCACAGAGGCUGCACCCACUCCUCAGCCUUGCUGAGCCACACCAUUCUCAUCUCUACAGCAUCCACCUCUCUUGGCUCUUGUAAGGAUUGAGACAUGCCACCAGGCUUACUGCAAAAAAUAAGGAAUAUUACAAGAUGGGACUAACAUUAAAAUGUAUGUUUUCAUCAAACAUGAUCAAGAACCUACCGAUGAUUGAAGGUUGAUUCUGAGUAAUCAGCACAGAUUUCUAAAAGAAACUUUAUGGGAUGCUGAGACAUGAAUAAAAACAACUUUAUUCCUUUGGAAAGGACAACCCACAUGCUAAGAAGAUGACACUACACGUUGUUAUAGCCCGAAAGGCCCUCUUUCCACAGGGGAGCAGUGAAAAGUAGAGGUUGCCCAUGUGGAUUCCCAAGUCAGAUAGAUGUGGAUUCAGAUCCCAGCUCUGCUGCUUGCUACCCAAGAGACCAUGGACUGUGGACUCUUUAGGUCUCAGGGUUUUUGUUUGUUGUCUGUUUUUCACUUCCAAAACCAGAAAAUGAGAAGAUAUUUUCCAUAAGAUGGCGGUGGAGAAGAGAACUUGAUGGACCUUGCUUGGACAAAAUGCCUUCACCGCUAACUCAGUCAGCUAUGGCGAUGGGUCAAGGACCUGGUGGUUUUACAGAGAAGACCCUUGGUCAAAUCUUUGUGAAUGAAGCAACCAUUCUGAUGUUCAAUAACAGGGAUGCACCAGUUUAUACCAAACUAUCUGUACUAUUGAGAACAGCAAAAAUAUCUGACCAAAAACACCAAAGAGUGACAUUUUAAAAGACAUCAAAGAACUCUCAAGGCUUCCAGAGUUGGAAAGAUCAAGAAAGAGAGAAUGCAACUUCAUUAAGGCACAAAAAGGAACAGGAUACAGAAGUGGAGGCAGUGACUCAACUCCAAAUAGGAGCAUUUCAAGAGUAUGUAUUUCAACAAAGAAGUAUUAGAAGAUGACAGUGUCCUUGCAGUAUCUUUUAGGGGCUAUCAGAACAUGAUUUCUGCUAUAUUCUAUCAUCGGAGCCUUAAUAAUGUUAACUAUAAUUCAAGGGAAGAUCAAAUAAACUUCACCUUUCAAGGAAAGGAGUAACAGAGAAUUAACUCAGACAAAAACGCUUAGAGGAAUUCCCCGAGAAUGGAGUCCUGAAACUAGGGGCCAUCAUCAAAAACACCAAAAUGAACCACAGAGAAGAUGCAAAUGUAGCAGGCCCAAGAUGCCUUGAACUCUAAGUUUGCAUGAAAUAACUG
rnacentral:lncRNA from 1 species